UAACGCGUGAGUAACCCGCCUCAUACAGGGGAAUAACAGUUAGAAAUGACUGCUAAUGCCGCAUAAGCGCACAGGGCCGCAUGGCCCGGUGUGAAAAACUCCGGUGGUAUGAGAUGGACUCGCGUCUGAUUAGCUAGUUGGUGAGGUAACGGCCCACCAAGGCGACGAUCAGUAGCCGGCCUGAGAGGGUGAACGGCCACAUUGGGACUGAGACACGGCCCAAGCUCCUACGGGAGGCAGCAGUGGGGAAUAUUGCACAAUGGGGGAAACCCUGAUGCAGCGACGCCGCGUGAGUGAAGAAGUAUUUCGGUAUGUAAAGCUCUAUCAGCAGGGAAGAAAAUGACGGUACCUGACUAAGAAGCCCCGGCUAACUACGUGCCAGCAGCCGCGGUAAUACGUAGGGGGCAAGCGUUAUCCGGAUUUACUGGGUGUAAAGGGAGCGUAGACGGCUUUGCAAGUCUGACGUGAAACUCCGGGGCUCAACUCCGGAACUGCGUUGGAAACUGUAAGGCUUGAGUGCCGGAGAGGUAAGCGGAAUUCCUAGUGUAGCGGUGAAAUGCGUAGAUAUUAGGAGGAACACCAGUGGCGAAGGCGGCUUACUGGACGGCAACUGACGUUGAGGCUCGAAAGCGUGGGGAGCAACAGGAUUAGAUACCCUGGUAGUCCACGCGGUAAACGAUGAAUACUAGGUGU
rnacentral:rRNA from 1 species